GCAAGCGUUAUCCGGAUUUAUUGGGCGUAAAGGGUGCGUAGGCGGUUAAAUAAGUCUAUGGUAUAAGUUCAACGCUUAACGUUGUGAUGCUAUAGAAACUGUUUGACUAGAGUUGGAUAGAGGCAAGUGGAAUUCCAUGUGUAGCGGUAAAAUGCGUAAAUAUAUGGAGGAACACCAGUAGCGAAGGCGGCUUGCUGGGUCUUAACUGACGCUGAGGCACGAAAGCGUGGGGAGCAAACAGG
rnacentral:rRNA from 1 species